rnacentral:rRNA from 1 species
ACACUGUACGAGUUUGAUCCUGGCUCAGAUUGAACGCUGGCGGCAGGCUUAACACAUGCAAGUCGAACGGAACCUUCGGGUUUAGUGGCGAACGGGUGAGUAAUACCUAGGAAUCUGCCUAUUAGUGGGGGAUAACGGCUCGAAAGGGUCGCUAAUACCGCAUACGUCCUACGGGAGAAAGAGGGGGAUCUUCGGACCUCUUGCUAAUAGAUGAGCCUAGGCCGGAUUAGCUAGUUGGUAGGGUAAAGGCUCACCAAGGCGACGAUCUGUAGCGGGUCUGAGAGGAUGAUCCGCCACACUGGAACUGAGACACGGUCCAGACUCCUACGGGAGGCAGCAGUGGGGAAUUUUUGGACAAUGGGCGCAAGCCUGAUCCAGCCAUGCCGCGUGAGUGAAGAAGGCCCUCGGGUUGUAAAGCUCUUUUGUCCGGAAAGAAAAGCGCCGGGUUAAUACCCUGGUGUCCUGACGGUACCGGAAGAAUAAGCACCGGCUAACUUCGUG